UACACACCGCCCGUCACACCAUGGGGGUUUGUCGCACCAGAAGCAGGUAGCUUAACCGCAAGGGGGGCGCUUGCCACGGUGUGGCCGAUGACUGGGGUG
rnacentral:rRNA from 1 species